UUUAUAGAAGGCACACAGAUCUGUUUGAAAUCGGAUCACUAUAUCACUGCCAUACAAAUUACCGGAUCUUUGUUCAAAAAAACUCUACGUAGUGAAAAAUACACACGUUCUUUGGAAAUUAAAAUUGCAGGCCAUGAUGGAGUAUCAAAGCUCUGAUGAUCUAAGGGCCUUCGACCGUCGCUUACGAGAAAUAGUUUCUAACCAGAAACCUAGUCGACGGAGCUGGAGUCUCAUCCUUGCCGGUGCCGCUGCCUGCGUUGUUCUUUGUGUCUUCUACUGGUACGGGAACCCCAACAGCAAUAGUUCUCUGCCAAUGAAGAUCAUGUGCAGCCCAGUUGUCUUUUUCCUCGUUCUUGCGAUGGAAAUUUUGUUUGCUGCGAAGUGCCUGUUUCUGGAAAAGAAAAUCUUUUUGAAAAGUUUACGCCGGGUAUUGAACGAUUAUAGCUUGAGCUGCAACAAACAUGGUGAACUUAGUUUACUUCCGAUAAAGCCAUAAUCAAUUUUCUGUUCAAACAAUGUGCCAACUACACAAUACAUUCGAUACAUAUGUACAUACAUACAAA
rnacentral:sRNA from 1 species